GGGAGGAGCUGGAACUGCAGCCUCACCCCAGCCCCAGGGCGGCCUAUUGGCUACCCAGCUUCGGCCAGUUCAACAAGUACAUAGAGAAGCUCUUCAAUAGCAGCCUAAAGCCUAAGAACACCAAGAAACCUAAGGAUGAGAAGAACACCAAGAAAACCCCACCAGCGAACGCUACGAAGCCCCUAUCAGUGAACGCAACGACACUCCCCCAACGGAACAUCACGAACGCUCCACCAAGGAACAUCGCUAAACCCUGACCACUAGCCUCCUCACAGGGUCCCAGUUUUCAGGUUCUUCAAAGAUGCUGCCUUAUAAUCAAGGAGAGCCUGCCUUCUAGAGACCCCUCCUGGAGCCACGCCGAGUUAACCAGAAACCUCUUCCUUAAGAUGGAGCUGCAUAUAUUUGAAGAACAGUUAUCUCUCUGCUCAACCUUCCAGCAUGCUUCAUGGAAACAGCUGGGUGGCUGGGGGCUGCAUUGCAAAUCUGUUCCUCAAAAGCUCCCUUUUACCGACCAUUUACCUGGCUCAAGGACCAUGCUAAAUGUGUCACAUGCAUUAUUUCAUGUCCUGCUCACUUCAACCCUACUAUUCUUCCCAUUUUACAAAUGAGGAACCUGAGGCUCAGAGAGGUUACGUCCCCACCCAAAAGCACACAGACGGAACAUGGCAGAUCCCGAUUCAAGCCCAGGUUCGCCUGACUUUAAAGCCAAGGUUCUAUCUCUGUAUUGGAUUCCCAUCUGCCGCCAGACCUUGAACAAGCUGCUAGAUCUCUCUGAGCCUUGACUUCCUCCUCUAUAGAGUGAGGAUAACAGUAUCUCCCACUCACAGGGUUGUUGAGAGGGCUAAAUGCCUCUGGCACACAGUAGGCUCCUUUUCCCAACAAUCUCACAAGACACCAUCUCCAGACCCAUCCCCAUCACUGUCCCCUGCCUCUGGCCGUGCUUCUGCUGGGUGCUGUGCCCCAUGAGGACCUGUGUUUCAACUCGACAUGCACACCUGACACACCUCCAACUGCCCAGAGGAAGGCAGCUCUGAUGCCACCGAUGCAGCCAGUGACUGUCUCAACCCCAUUCAUUCCUCUGGGCUCGGUCGUUACCCUGCUUCCCCAUGCCAAGGACACUUUAGUAUAAAUUAGUACUUCACCUACCGCCUAGGCUGUAGGAAGGCAUUGGGGGUUGGGGGUGUUGUGCUUGGGGACAGAGCUGCCAUCAGGCCAAGGUACUAGAGGUACUGAAAUGGGACAAUUCAAGCUUCACGGACUUGCUGAAUGACCUUGGGGGAGUCCCCACCUCCCCCUGUGCCACAACUUGCCCCUCUGGGAAGUGGAGAGGAUGAGCUAAAUGGCUCUGAUGACCCUACAGACGUUCUGGAUCAUUAAUAACACCUCUUUCCCUUCUCCUCCUCCCAGCCCUGCCCCUUUCUCUCCUGUGCAUUUGGCUUGCUCCUGCCCCAACCAGGGUCCACAGAGACACACAGAGAGAGUGAGGCUGUGACUUUGAUUUGCUUUAUUUAGCCUGUGUGGGAGCAGG